CCGAUAGCGCACAAGUAGAGUGAUCGAAAGAUGAAAAGCACUUUGAAAAGAGAGUCAAACAGUACGUGAAAUUGUUGAAAGGGAAGCGCUUGCGACCAGACUUGCCCGCAGUUGCUCAACCGGCCUUCUGGCUCGGUGCACUCUUCUGCGGUCAGGCCAGCAUCGGUUCGGGCGGCUGGAUAAAGACCUCGGGAAUGUGGCUCUCCUUGGAGAGUGUUAUAGCCCUUGGUGCAAUGCAGCCAGCCUGGACCGAGGACCGCGCUUCGGCUAGGAUGCUGGCGUAAUGGUCGUAAGCGGCCCGUCUUGAAACACGGACCAAGGAGUCUAACAUCUAUGCGAGUGUUUGGGUGUUAAACCCAUACGCGUAAUGAAAGUGAACGGAGGUGGGAACCUUUGGGUGCACCAUCGACCGAUCCUGAUGUCUUCGGAAGGAUUUGAGUAAGAGCAUAGCUGUUGGGACCCGAAAGAUGGUGAACUAUACCUGAAUAGGGUGAAGCCAGAGGAAACUCUGGUGGAGGCUCGCAGCGGUUCUGACGUGCAAAUCGAUCGUCAAAUUUGGGUAUAGGGGCGAAAGACUAAUCGAACCAUUGCUACUAGGUGGUUAAAAGGCGAGGCUUGGGGUCGCGCCUAGUCCCUCACCCGGGGCUACACUACUAAAUUGCGGGGACACCCAGGUCGGCUCAGACAACCGCGGCUCACCCGAAAGGGAGGAGUGCAGCACCGAGUUCAUCGCUCGGGGGAGGUAACAUUGUCUGAGAUCGGGUAACCGCGCAGCCAAGU
rnacentral:rRNA from 1 species